ensembl:lncRNA novel transcript, antisense to PELI1
CUCGGGCCAGCUCGAGACGGCCACAUUACUCAGAUGGUGUAGCCUUCUACACACCUUGGAUAUAUGGUAUAGCCUAUUCCUGCUAGGCUACAAACUCGUGCAGCAUGUUAUGGUACUGAAUACUGCAGGCAAUUGUAGCACACUGGCCUGGUUGAAGAUGGCUGAGCGUAAAACAGAAUGCAAGUCAGCUGGAGCACGUACUACUGGAGGCAGAGCCCCAUGAGAAGGGGCCAAGAACCCGCACCCAUCAAAAUCAAGAAGAAAGGCUGAACCCGGAGAGAAAAGGGAGCAACUGAUGUUGCCAUGCAGAUCCCUUGGUUGCUAUGAGAUGGUAACAUCACUCUGCCCCACCAUUGGCCAGUGCCUCCUCAGCUGCGGUGCCUCCCAGGCUGUGUGGUUCUCACGCGGGCCACUGACACAGAGCUGUUACUAUGGUGAACUUUACAAUUUCCUUUGAUUGGUGGAUUUCAGAAAUAGGCCAUCAGCGGAAUUCAUUAUAUUCAGCUAAGUAAAAAUGAAAAAUAAAUACUAUAACUUUCCCCUCAUCACUAACAUGAAGGAAACGUGACCCUUCAUGACAUAAUAAAUCGCUGUUCGGUAACUUAGGAUCCUUCAGGGGACUGAAGCGGGAUGAUCCUCCUAUGCCAAAUUUGGGUGGGAAAGAUAUUCCCUGUAGCUUUGAGUCGACUCUUCAGAGUUAAGGGCAGUGGGCCAACCAGAGUUGGAACUUCAGAGUUGGGAGGAGGUGUGGGAUGGGGCAUGCAUUGAAAUGUAAACUCUAUUGUCUCUGAAGUGAUGGGUGAUGCUGGGGGCCUGAGUGUGGAGGGCAGUUUUACAUCUCAGGACAAUGUUUUCUCAGAUGCUCUUCCAGAAAGAAAAGCCAGGAGUACUCCUGGCUGGAGGCGGCAUGCCUGAGGUCAGAGUCAAAGUAGGGUUUGUGCUGUCUGAAUCCUUUCUCCCACUCUCCCCAGCCUGGCUCAGCUUCUCAGCUUCUCAGGUGGAUUGGUGAGUCCUGGCCAAUUACGCUUCAGCUCAUCUCUACUCUCAGCAAAUAGGAAAAGGGAGUGAAGGACUGAGUUUUAACUCUUCUAAUUUCGUAACCUGACUCUCUAUAAGAAAAAGUAGGAGAAAGACUGAAGAACCCGAGAGAACAGGCCUCUGAGCCCAAGCCAAGCCAUCGCAUCCCCUGUGACUUGCCCGUAUAUAUGCCCAGAUGGCCUGAAGUAACUGAAGAAUCACAAAAGAAGUGAAUAUGCCUUGCCCCACCUUGACUGAUGACAUUCCACCACAAAAGAAGUGUAAAUGGCCGGUCCUUGCCUUAACUGAUGACAUUACCUUGUGAAAGUCCUUUUCCUGGCUCAUCCUGGCUCAAAAAGCACCCCCACUGAGCAUCUUGCGACUCCCACUCCUGCCCACUGAGCACCUUGUGACCCCCACUCCUGCCUGCCAGAGAACAAACCCCCUUUGACUGUAAUUUUCCUUUACCUACCCAAAUCCUAUAAAACGGCUCCACCCUUAUCUCCUUUUGCUGACUCUCUUUUCUGACUCAGCCCGCCUGCACCCAGGAGAUUAAAAGCUUUAUUGCUCA